AUUCGAUGAUACGCGAGGAACCUUACCAAGACUUAAAUGGGAAUUGACAGUUUUAGAAAUAGAACUUUCUUCGGACAAUUUUCAAGGUGCUGCAUGGUUGUCGUCAGCUCGUGCCGUGAGGUGUUAGGUUAAGUCCUGCAACGAGCGCAACCCCUGUCACUAGUUGCCAUCAUUCAGUUGGGGACUCUAGUGAGACUGCCUACGCAAGUAGAGAGGAAGGUGGGGAUGACGUCAAAUCAUCACGGCCCUUACGUCUUGGGCCACACACGUAAUACAAUGGCCGGUACAGAGGGCAGCUACACAGUGAUGUGAUGCAAAUCUCGAAAGCCGGUCUCAGUUCGGAUUGGAGUCUGCAACUCGACUCUAUGAAGCUGGAAUCGCUAGUAAUCGCGCAUCAGCCAUGGCGCGGUGAAUACGUUCCCGGGCCUUGUACACACCGCCCGUCAAGCCAUGGAAGCUGGGGGUACCUGAAGUCGGUGACCGUAAAAGGAGCUGCCUAGGGUAAAACUAGUAACUAGGGCUAAGUCGUAACAAGGUA
rnacentral:rRNA from 1 species